CAUAACAUAAAUACGGCACCCAUAAGAAAUAUAAAACAGCGGAAAGCAGAGGAAAGCACACAGAUUCGUAAUAAGCAUGGGACACUGAAUACGAAAUCAUAACGGGAAUAAAAAUAAAAAAAAAACCCCACCGAGUAAUUCCCUACAUGCAACAACAAUAAUUGCAGUUCUCAUUCCAAUUUAUCGCAAGGCAAACACUUUGUUAGACUCAGAGAGGUAUGCCAUUUUUCUCUUGAUUUUAAUCUUGAUUACUUUUGUUUUUAUAUACUCACAUUUGUGUUUUUGUAGUAUUUUGUUGCAGUCAUAAGUUGCUUCUUCCCAACUGUCUUUCUGUAUUCCCAAACAAUCAUUGAAAGCUUUCAGGUUAUAAUCGCAAAGGCAUACGUGAAUAUAGUAGAUAUGGCUCAUGCAAGUGAGGCUUCUCUUACGAGAACAAUAGAAUCGCUCUUGACAUCCAAUUCGCCGAUGCAAUCUCUAAUCUGUGAUCACAGAGAAGAACUUUGCGCUCUUCAUGAAAAAAUUAGUUCCUUCGAAGUAUUCCUCAAGAACUUUGAGAAAAACAAUAUUGCUGGGGAAAUGACGGAUUUUGAAGUAGAGGUAAAAGAAGUUGCAGAUGCUGUUGAAUACACAAUUCAACUGAGACUAACAGAAGCUGUACUGGGAGAAAAUAAAAGCAUCAUAGGAAUCAUUGGCUCAAGAUUUUUCAGGGAAUCUCGAAUAUAUGGACACGCGGAAAGGUUUUUAAAGGCCUUCAACAAUUAGCAAAGUACAUUGAUCAUGUCUGGAAAGAGUCAACAAAGAUUCAAGAUAAAGGCAAACAAGUAUCAAAGGAAUCAUUGGUUCAUGAGUUUUCAAGUUCAACAAACGAUAUUCUGAAUGUUAACAAUAAUAUGGUUGGACGUGAUGAUCAAAGGAAACGGUUGGUAGAAGAUCUGACAGGAAGCUACUCUGGUGAACCCAAAGUCAUAUCGAUUGUCGGGAUGGGAGGCAUAGGUAAAACAACCUUAGCGAAAGAAGUUUACAAUCAUGAGUCAAUUCUACGCUGUUUUGAUGUUCGUGCCUGGGCUACUUUAUCUCAACAACACAAUAUAAAGGAAAUUUUGCUGAGCCUUCUGCAAUCGACGAUCAAAAUGGAUGACACGGUUAAGACGAGAGGUGAAGCAGAGCUAGCAGACAUGCUGCAGAAAAGUUUAAAGAGAAAGAGGUACUUAAUUGUCUUGGAUGAUAUCUGGAGUUGUGAAGUGUGGGAUGACGUGAGACAAUGCUUUCCAACUGAAGACAAUGCAGGGAGUUGUAUACUGUUGACUACCCGUAACAAUGAAGUAGCUUGUUAUGGUGAUACAGAGAAGGCUCUGUGGUGAGAAUUUAAUAUACCUCCAGAAAUUUGCAGGUUAUGGAAUCUGCAGACAUUCAUCGUUCAAGGGCCUCGUCGAUCAAUUAUAACUUUUCCUGAGGAAAUUUGGGGACUAAUGCAAUUAAGGCAUCUCAAACUGCCCGAAUUUUAUCUGCCAAAUUCCCCAAGCGUAUCUGCUGACAAAGGGAGUCACAUGGGUUUUUCAAACAUACAAAAUAUUCUUACUUGUCUCCAUGUUGUUGCACGAACGAGGUUAUUAUGGGGAUUCAGAAUGUCAAAGAAUUACGAAUCCAUGGAUAUGGGAUUUACUCUAAUGGGCAUCUCAACAAUCUUAUCCAUCUGCAGCAACUUGAAACAUUGAGUCUUAUAUAUUGUUUUAGUGGAUUUUUUCCAACAACGCUCAAGAAGCUGAAGAUGGAAAGAACUUUGCUAAGUUGGUCAUACUUGGACAUCAUAGCUGAGUUGCCUACCUUGAGGUGCUGAAGCUGAUGGAUAAUGCUUGUUAUGGCAAUGAAUGGUAUUCAAAUGUCAGGUGAUUUACUCGAUUGAAGCUUUUGUUAAUUGAAGAUAGUCCUCUCAAGUACUGGGAAGCCACAGAUGACAAUUUUCUUGUCCUUGAGCGCCUUGUGCUUAACAAAUGCCAUGAUUUGAAAGAGAUACCCAUUGAGUUUGCAGAAAUCCCCACACUACAACUGAUUGAGUUAACAAGGUGUCUUCCCAAACUUGGGGAAUCUGCUGCUCGAAUUCUACGAGAACAACAAGACCUCAGAAACAACCCCGUGGACGUUCGUAUCUCUGAACCAUUGCCUGAUGAAGGAGAAGAAGUUUAUUAUCUUGAUGUUUCAGAAGAUGAUGAUGAAUGUUGAUGUUGCAGAAGAUGAUGAUAAUGAAGAUUCUUAUGCUGAUGCUGCAAAACAUUAUGAUAAUUACUAUCUUAAUUGGCUGUUCGAUGUUCAGAAUAACCUGUAAUGAGAAGGGAAACAAUGGAUUUACAAUUUGAUACUGUUAUAGACUGUUGAUGCUAGUUCAUCACCCUAUGUUUUUCAUAAAUGUAAAUGUAUUACGUUCUUUGGUUU